rnacentral:rRNA from 1 species
GGGGGGGCCUAACACAUGCAAGUCGAGCGGAUGAGAGGAGCUUGCUCCUCGAUUCAGCGGCGGACGGGUGAGUAAUGCCUAGGAAUCUGCCUAGUAGUGGGGGACAACGUUUCGAAAGGAACGCUAAUACCGCAUACGUCCUACGGGAGAAAGUGGGGGAUCUUCGGACCUCACGCUAUUAGAUGAGCCUAGGUCGGAUUAGCUAGUUGGUAGGGUAAAGGCCUACCAAGGCGACGAUCCGUAACUGGUCUGAGAGGAUGAUCAG